GGUGUCCCGAGGUCGGGGGCACCACUGGUGGGGCUGGACUGGCCACAGCCACCUUCUGGAGCUGGUGGAAUGCAGCCCGAGCUGAGCCUUGGGUGGUGGAGGUAAGAAAGUGAGAAGGGAGGCAAAAGGGCUGAGGGCAGGGGGAGAAAAAGGAAGGAACCAAGGCCUGGUUUUGCUUCUUUAUCAAGGGAAACCUCAUGUCCAGCUGCGCCAGAAACGAGCCGAUGUGAGGAGAGGCAGCAAAGGAAGCCUGGCAGACAGUGUCGGGGUGCAUAGACAAUGUCUUUAUGCACCAACAUCCUCAAAGCGAAAACGUUUCAGUGGAAAAUAUUUUGAUUUUAAAACCAGUUUCGCUGUGUGCUGUUAACCCAGAGGUCUCAGUUAACAGGGUGUUCUGGUAACAUAUCAGCAUGAAAUUAACCAACAUAGGCUCUAGUGUGUGAUAUGGAUUAGUGAGCUAUCCACACAGAGCUUUGAAACUUGAUUUACAAGGUAGAAAAGGAACGUUUUCUUCAUUACCCAAACUGGUGCUUCCUCUGUAGUGUUGCAAGGCAACUUAAAGGCACGUUGUAAAUACCGUUAGUAGUUUGUUGUUGAAUUGGAUAUUGGCAGUAGUUUUUUGAAGCACGGUCUUGUUAUUUCUCAUGUCUCUUUUCACCAAUAUUGUGAAAUAAAAAACACUGGGAGGUGUUUUGUGCUGAUUAUGGGUUCAGUUCUGCUCCCUCUGAGCUCAGGUCGCUGUAACGGGGCCGUUUGCUGAUGUGAUGACUUGCCCAGGGUGGGGGACAGAGGGUUUACUGGAAACAUUCCUACGCUGUGUUAUUCAUCAGCCCUAAUCAAAUUUUGCGGAGUACCUUGCAUCAUUCCCAACAAGUGCCAGUAAAUCGGUGCGUAUCACAUAUGCUGCAGAAAAGCUAUUUCAGGAAUGUCUUAGGUGUCGUCUUCCUAUAUUUUGUUUGUCUCCCGCUGCCAGAAAAGGUGCAUUAGUGAUUGUGAUCCAGACUAUCAGAUAGGCUGGGCUGGGGGGGUUGCUCCAUCCAGGUGGAUUUGCUUUGUAGUUAAACGUGUGAGCUCCAUAGAGAGGUAGAGGUGUGAUGAUACAAGCUUAUCUUGAGGCUCUGGUCUGAAUACAAAUGAGAUUUGGCCCAUUUUUUUUCACCAUCUCCGCCACCCCAUUCUCCAGCUCUAGGGACAGAUUUGUGUGGACUCUUAGCACUUUUUAACUCCCAAUUUAAGCUAGCAGCAGUUCUAGGGGUCAGCUCUUCUGUACAUCAGGCACUUGGCUUCCUUCUAAUGUCCUCACCUUCUUUAAUUACUGCCUGUGGCAGUUCCCCAGUCCUCUGGCAAGGUCCCAGUUCCUGGUGCAUUAACUUGGGAUGGAGGGAGAGGCUUUCAAAGUCCUAUCAACAUCUGACACCCGCCUAAUUCUUUCUGUAUUCUCUCAUCCUUUCUGUUGACUUAAAGUGAAGUCCUGCUUUUGGAAAGCUCAUCUUCCUUAUUUCUGAACCUCUUGAAUAUCCCUGUUGAACACAUUUGGUUGAACAGCUGCAAUGACCAGCAGAACCCGCCUUUUACUACUACACAACAUUUCUCACAAGGAUGAGGAGAGAAACCUGUUUCACUUAGAAAUGGUGGACUGGACGAUGUGAAUGAUUAGAAUUUAGGUUAUUUCGCUAUGGUUCAAUAGCACGAGCAAUCCAGAAAGUUUCCUUUGCUUCUGGUGUUCUGCAAAUGACUUUCCGGACUCCUUUUAGGUAGGUGGGCGCCGUUGCGCCCCCAGCAAGAGGAAGGUCUUGUUGUGUUUUGGAGCAAGACCCAUGGAAACUGAGAUUGCUGAAGUCACCUGCAAGAUGUUUGCAUCCCUCAGAACACUUUGAAAACCUCAACCAUUUUAGUCCUUGGUUGUGAAGUGGAUUGGCACUUCUCUGAAGGACAAGUAUGCAUUCUUUGAACCUUUAGUAAAAAUCGUUUGGCUCGAAACCAAGUCUAAAACACUGGAUUAUGAUUUUGACCCGAAGCAUAGAUGACAAAAUGAUAAAUUUGCAAAACUCAGGCAUUUUUUUUGGAGAACGUGAAUUCAAUGGGAGUAUUACCAUCAACAUCAAAGGGAGCAGGAUUGAACCUGUAAUGUACAGCACUAAUGACUACAAUCAAAUAAACGUAUAUUACCUGGGUUUUCUACCACCUUUUGCCGUGUGUGUGUUUGCACUUUUAUGUGUGUGCCAAAGGAGUGGGCAGUUAUACUAGGUUGGUAAAAAUAUAAAUAACGAUGCAGAGUGACAAGCCUUGGGGAUUCUGGUCUACUCGUUUCCAUAAAUCAGUAAAGGAAGUGAAGAAUUGAAAACCUUGAAAGGUGAGAUUAUAGACUUAGUGAAGACUUCAGAAAUAUUUACACUUAAUUUCAUCUGCUUGUAUUUUUUUACUCAUGGUGGAGCUCAGUUUGAUUAAAAGUGAGUAUGGAAUAGCAUCUCUCUCUAGAAACACAGAAUCCUAGAGUUACAUCUUUGUAUUCUAUUUAUAUGUAUUGUUUCCUUUUGCUGUGUUUGAUUAGUGCACCUCAGCAGUAGCUGUUUUGUCCCCUCUGGUUAGUUCUUACCUGACUCGCUCUUCUCCGUGGAGCUGCAGCUUGUGACAGAAGAGAAUGUCAGGUAUGAUAAUAGCCUCCUAUUUAACUCAAUUGAAUUUCUUUUGUUGGCUAAUUUUCAUUUGUGUUUACAUCCUUUUCUAAAUUGCUCAGAUUUGCAACCGUAAACUGGAUGCUACUUCUUGAGGGGGUGGGGAAAAAAGAGUAAUCAGUUUUCUGAGUGUGUAUUAUGCUUCAGAGGAAUUAAAGUAAAAAUCAAACAUGAACGUCAGUUUUGAUGAACAGCUACAGCAGAGAUGCUUUGUUUCCAAAGUAUGACAUUUUCUGUGGUCUUAGUAUUAUCAGCCUAGAGUUUGUGGCAGUUAUCAGUGUCCACUUUUUAAGUAAAAAAGAAUCAAAAUUAAAAGUAUUCCAUUAGAAAUUCCCUAUGUCCUUUAUGUUUUCUUGAUUCCCAGCUUGGCACUUGAGUGGCUUUAUUGAAGUGCUUAGUCUGCUGUUGCCCAUUGAUCGGAUCCCCCGUCAUUCGGAAAGUGCUGAGUCUCCAUCAGCGCGUGUAAAACCUCCAUUCACUUGUUCAUGGCAAGGAGAUCUUUUUUCAUGCAGCUGAAAAAUUUGGGGGAUGCUCCUGUGGGAUUCCCUUGUCAUGGUUGCGUCGGGCUAAGGAGACGUCUGGGUGAACACAGUGAAGUUAGAUGAGAUCAUCUGAUGGAGAUGCUCAACUGGAAAAUGGUACGGCACGCGGGUGCAAGACUUCAGACACAUGAAGAAAAAGAAACAAGAUAAUAUGUAUUUCUGACCCAAAAUACAGAGGUCUCUGCCAGGGACAAACUUGUGUCACAUUGUGUGUCGUGACAUGAGUGUUAAUUGCGACACGGCUUGAAACGUGGAGGUGAUUUCCCAGGUAUUGUGCAGGGAAAGGGAGGAUGUAAAAAAGAGGGAUGGCUGCGUUUUUUCUUGAAAUGCACCAUAAAGCUUAUUUCUCCGCUUUCAAAUCUGUGUAUAGCUUGAGCAUAUUGUGUCCACAGCCAAAGCGACACGAACACAGGUGACCCCACGGGAAGGUUGAGGCUUCCUGGACGUGCCCCAGGAACUCGUGGCCUCGGGGAGAUGAUGCUUGUGGAGCUGUCAGCAUUUUUAAGGGUGGUGACAGCAGGUCUUGGUCUCUCAGUGCAAACAUUUAAAGGCAACGGAGGUCCUGAGGACAUCAGGUAUCCCUCUGGCAAGCUUGCUAUAGGAGGAAGGCUGAGGCGUGUGGGUUCUAUCAUGGCCAUUCCUGCUGCGGCUGAGCGCUUGGCUGCCUGCCUGUGCCGGCUUUUGUGAUAAGGCCCUGUACAAAGAUCUAACAUAUUUUUAAUCAAAUGUUUCCAUUCAUUUUAAUAUGUUGUACCCAUCAGAUUACAGUCACUCAGCAAAAAUCCAGCCUUUGACACACAGUCUCAUUUAUCCUUGUUCCUACCAUGCGCCCGGCUCUGCUUUGCUGACGUUGGUUCUGGUUGUUCAGUCCUCUUGUAGGUUGUUUUCUUUUGUUUUGGGGUUUUUUUUUGUCUUUUUUAGAGGGGGAUGGUGCAAUUAGCCCGAUUGGAGCAACUAGGCCAAGGAACACCAAGCAGUAAAAUAAAGUCUUGAUGACAUAUUUGAACUCUUGUAGACCAUGGGUUAUCUGAUCUGCAAGGUCACUGCUAUUCUCUGGGAAAGUUUAAAAGAAUCUGCUCCUGUUUCAAGCUUAAAGGGCCCUUCUUGACAAUUUUAGGAUGCAAAUUCAGGUUUUUCUUUGAGUAUAUUCAGUUCUGCACAGGUGAGUGUUUCAGAGUAUUUACUACCUGUAUUUUUUUAAAUUCUGUUUGGAUUUAACCGCUCAUCAGAGGCAAACAGAGUACAAUUAGAAUUAAACAGAAGGAAAAAGUGACUCCAAUAAGGCUCCUUCUGCUACCAAAACGGAAUGAAAUGCAGAAAGGAAAAUAAUACUAAUGUGAAAAUGAGAAACCUGAAAAGAACUUUAAAAUCCCUUUUAAUAAUUUAAGCUGUCGUCAGUAGCAGAGAUAAGGAAUUAUAUUUCAGCCAUGACUUAUACCAGGCAUGUCUUAAAAAGAAAAAGACAAAUCGAUAAUGCCUGAGCAGACUGUCCCAGGGAAUAAAAAAGUGCAGAAUUAGGCCGUGGGAAGCCAAAUAUCUUUUCCACUGUUCAGCCUGUAGAAAAAUGAAAUGGUGGCCCUUGAUCUUUACCAACUCUAACAGAUGGAUUUGGGGAAGCAAUAGGAAAAUAUCGUCAUUGAAAGUUUUGUCUUUCUGUAUUUAUGACAAGUCAAGCUGUGCCUUGCUCAAAAUGUUUGAAGCUCUUAUGUUGCAAAGAUUUGGUAUUAGUCUGAUUAGCUUAGCAGUAUUCUUCUGUAAUACACAUCACAAAGCCCUGUCAGAAUGAAACUGAAUGCUAAAAACAUCGCUUAAUAACUUUCACAGACCAUUAAGGUUUAAGGCUACAACGUGGGAGUUUAUUACAAGGAGACCCUCUUACAUCAGCAUAUGCUUUAAUUAGAGAUAUUCCCCCCGCAGGCUUUAUUUGCUGUGAAGUGGGAUGUUCUGAUUUUACGUUCCUAUACACCCUGGCUCAGCUGUUGCAGUGGGGCUGUUGCAGUAACACACGGAAUCCUAUCGGAAAGGAUCCAGGAGGCUUUUCUUUUCCUUUCGCGGGGAUCGGAAUAUGUCAGAUCUUGGCCGUUUUACCCUUCCUGGCCGUGACAAACUCUCACCCCUCUGUUUCCCUCCCAUUAUAGCAGCAGCAUUAUCCGGCAGGAUGAGGUACGACUUCCCUCGCCGGCAUCUUUCAUGCCACUCCAUGUGCUGUUGGGAACAAGGAUAAUUCACGCCCUUGCCUCAGGGAUUAUAAAUGUAAUGCCCUGAAAGAACACGUAGUUCAUCUACAAAGCAGGGCACUACUUGUGCCAUAAAAAUUCCUUAUCACCCAGUAGGAAUAUGGAUUCAGAGCCAUUUAUUUGGCUCUGUGUAGGUGCUGGAUUUUAAGGAAGGAUCCUAUUACCUUCUGAUUAUCUCCUUGGGCUGAUUUUACCUGGGUAUAAUUCCACGGUCUCCCAUGAAGCAAUUUCAGACUCAUUUUGGGCAACUGAGGAGAGAUUGGGUGCGUGUACUUGGAGUGACAGCAAAAUGUGUGCUGGAGUCUUUGGCGGGAAAAAUCUAUCAGUCUCCAUUGAUAAAAAGUUUAUGAUUAAUCACCGGCUUGAUUACAUUAGCCUUUAAUUAAGCUUGUAAGUGCCAAAGAACAGGGACUUUGGUGUGUUUUUCCUUCGUUAUCUCCUGACCGUGGCUCUGCUGGUGUGAUUUUAUGAAAGAUCUUGCAUUGUAACACAACUGUUCCCAACCCCUAAAGGGAAAUUAAGGUCGUGUCCUUCCUUGCUGAUGCUUCCACGGUUGGAACCAUUUCAGUGGAAAGCAAAAAUACAGGUGAAAAUAUGUGUUGGUUUCCUUUAUAUUGCGGAGUUACCAUCCUUUACCUCUCAUUAAAUUGCCGGCUUUUCCUGGAGCUCUUGGGAACCCAUGCACACAUCCAUGGGUUUUUUUUCCCAUAGAAAACUGAUGCUAACCAUGGGUCUACAGCUGGUUUUAGUGGUUUAUAGUAACCUUCCUCAUGCAGGGUCCCACUGAACAUUACAAACUAGUAAAAUACCUCACCGCCGAUGUGCAGUGAGUGCCAGGAUGGGGCGUGGAGGAUGUUCAGCCCAAAGUACCUGCAUCAGGAUGGUCUCAUCCAACGCCACAGGAGCCAAUUCCAUCUCUGAUGAGAAACGUCCCGGGAUGAUCAAGGGCCAGAAUGAAAAAGGAGAAUUUAACAUAAUAGCUGGGAGAAGAAAACAUUACAGAUCUCAGCAUUUCCCCAGGGAAAUAAGGUGAUGAUUCCUGGCUUGCUGAAGGAUUUGGGCUGAGGUCUUGUAUCUCCUCCUGACACUGAGCCAUUUUAACCCCUUUUUUUUUUUAUACCUAGCAUUUCUGAUGCUUUUUCACGCCUGAGGCUUUGGUACCAAGCAGCCCUUUUGAAAACUGCAGUGCUGUUGUCCCUGAAGAUCUCCCCCAUCCCCAUUGCUCCAUCAGCACAAGGAGAAACAGCCUUGACAAAAAUCCCCGCGGGACUCUGUGUGCACGGUUCCUGCACUGAGAAGUGAAGAUUCAAGUGCAAUGCGUGGAAUUUGCAAGUGCAGCUUCCCUCCUUCCCAGCCCACCCUCCGUGCUAUGAAAACAUCUUUUGACCAGCGGUUGUUAUCCUUACAAAAGAAAAUGUAACAGCAACAAAGUGUUAUUUGAAAUAUCAACAACCAAGGGAAAGGCCGGAGCGUGUUGCUUCGGGAGGGCAGUCUGAUGGAGCUGGAGGAAAAUACAGCUCCUUUUGUCACAGAGGACACAGAGAUUGGGGUCAGGUAGGACUGGCCACACCACUGGGUGAUGAAGGAGGACCAAACCCCCUCAAGGAGAGUGGUUUGCCACUCUGGGUUCCAUUGUAAAAUUUGUUCAUCCCGCUCCAGGGACCUCACACCAUAGGACUAGGUAUCGAGGCACCUACUCUUCAAAUAUCCAAGUCCUACAUUGAAUCCAGUCCUUAGUAACUUAGGUGCUACAGUGGUGAGUGUGUCAAUCUCUAAACUCACCUGAAAAUCCGAGUGUUAUCCACGUUCUCAAGUCAUUUGCUGUCUAGCAAGAAGCAGCCCCAAACCAGAAUAGACUGAGACCUUCGAUGGUAUCACUCUGAAGAUAAGGAAGAGACUUGCCAAAGCAGAUGUUGGCUUUCCUUGCAUGCCCAGCAGGCAGCCAGUGAGGCAUCCAUCCUCAUGAAAAGUCACUUUUAUUCACAAACCUGCCUGUUCUUCAGGAACCCUCUCUGCUGCCUUCACAUCCAAGCUGAUGGAGCCCAACCAGCUCGGGGCUCUGGCUUCACUCGUGACGUAAUUAUCCAUCUGGCUCAGCUGAUCGAGAGAUGGAAUUGCACACAGUCUAUGGAAAUACUGAAUACCAGUAAGUCAGAAGAAGCAAAAGAUGCAAAACUGCAGUUUUCCCAUGGCCUGAAAAUGACUCCCUCCCUGGCUCAGGGCAGCCACAGAUGAGAGGAUGGACGAGCUUAACUCUAAAGUCAGCCUAAGGGAUGGUGCAGAGCUGCUACUCCAAGAGAAACUCCAAGGAGGAAGUUAUGACUCAGAGAGCUGCAAUUCCUUCCACGGUUCCUCCUUGUUCCAGCCGGGGAAUUCCUGAGAGCGCCCCUUGCCUUCUGCGUUGUAUAACAUAGCCUGAAUGAAUCGCGGCUGUUAAAGGAAAAAGCACAGCAGCAUCGAUGGCUUUCGUUCUGUCACCCCGACAGAAGAGUCAGAGCCAACAGGAUCGUGCUUGUCAGUAGUUUACAGAUGACAACGGUCACACACACUGCUCGACGAUAAGGAAAUGUUUAAUCUGAAAGUUUGACCUUGUUUGAAGCCACCUGUAGCUCCUCAUCCACAAACCAGUGUGUUGGCUCUCACUAUGUCCAGUUGACUCUUUGACUCAGCCUGUAGAUGAGCCCAACUCCUACAGAAAAAAAUGAAAGAUGGACCUCUCCUUUAAGGAACUCGCAGUUUAAGGAACUUUAUUUGCAGAGUUAUCUCCUUUAGUGCUGGAAGAAAUUCUACUCAAGAUCAAAUUAAGCGACAAAUACCUUUAAAACCUGUAGAGUUACAAAAGCCCAAGCAGAGGGAAGGAGGUAUUUCUGCUCUGCUGAAGCAGGGAGUUUGUGUGAAGAAGGAGAAAGGACAGCAAUGCCCAAAUUUGCUUAACAUCUGGUUUCGACCAAGCCAGUCUGAUCUGUAAGAUUCAUCAGGGAUUCAGGUUAGAGUGAAACAGGCAAUUAAACAAUUGCUUAUAAUGCAGUAUAUAAACUGUAGAGUGAAGCCCAGGCAGAUGCCUCACCAGCAGGCACUGGGUGUUAGACCAGCUCCCUCGGCUCUUUUAUCAAAGCCAAUUCUGAACUUACUGUCUGUAUUUGACAGGAGUCAGCAACCACACAUCCCAAGACAGAAAAAUCAUCAGACUUUGGCUCUGGGCACGUAGAACUGAAUGUCUCUAUCAGCCUGUGGACUAAGAUAGAGAAGAUAUUGACCAUCGGUAGAGAUCCAGCCUCAAGGGCUGAGCACAGAUCCACAUACCUUGUUGUCUCGAAUAAAAAUCCACUUGGGAUGUCUCCACACUAACAGUGUGACCCAGAUCACCCUUGCCGUGCUUUGGUUCACGUCGCAGCGCACAUGGAUUCAAUUCUUUCAGAUUCCUCCAAACCAUGAGGUCUGUUCCACCUCCAGGAACUCCAUGCUGAGUUACAUGCCACCGGUGGGACUAGACUAGAGCUGGUCUGGAGUAAAACCCCUAAAGCACUGGAAAUGUGGGGACUUCAACUCCAGUUUUGCUGGACAAAUCUGCUCCUUUCAGGAGUCAGCACUUAUUAAGGAUGAUGACUGCUUUGGGGCAUUUCUCUACAGCGAUUGCAGGGGAGCACCAUGGAUCCCAGCUCAAGAUCAGCUCCCUCCACCCUGUUGUCUUGCAGGUGAUUUUCCAUCAGGUGGGACUGCUUCAUCCAGCCUUUUCUUGGUUUCUCAGAAUCAGGGCCACGGCCCAGAUUUUCUUAACUGCCACACAUACUACACAUGUGAUUCAUCCGUCUAAAUGUAAGCAAUGAAGAGUCUUGCAGAUCGGUACGAAGCCAAAAGCCUAGCCCUGAAGAUUUUUCCAAUUGAGACACUAAGUUGUUGGCAGAGGUUACAGAGCAAAGGAACUGCCCACAUUCUGCACUCUCAACUUCAGAUGGAGGUCCGGAUAGUGGAAAUGUUACCAUUUUUUAAAAUAUGGGUUCAUUCUCAUGCUAUAGUGAUGGUGGUUUCACUUUGUGGAAUAAACAUAAGCUUUCUUAAUUAUCCCAUUCAUUUAAUUUGCAGAGUGGAGGAUUUUAUGAAGUCGGAUGUUGCGGCUGUGUUGGUGAGGCAGUAAUAAUUCAGAGCCACAAUUAUGAAGUGCUAUUUAGUAGUGGUGGGUUUAUACUUUUGGUUAUUGUGUGCAUUUAUUUUUUUAUGGUUUUGUAAUUAUUUGUAUUGGUAACAGUAAGAUUAUGAACACAACUGCAUUGUUGUGUUCAUAUUAAAGAACAAUAUAGUUUGCGGAACAAUUAUAGGAGAUAUUUUUCUCCACAAGCUACCUUAUCGUGGCAACAUAAACAAGUAGGCUGGUUGCAGUAGGAAAACAGUGAAAUGCACUUAUUAAUUAAGGUCAAGAGGUUGUAUUUUACUGAGCUAAAUAGAGAUAGUAUGCUCCAACUGUUCACUUUCAUACAUUUCAGUAGGGAAUCUACCAGGCGGCUUGAAUUAGGGGAAAAAUGAAUUGGCAUGGGAGCCCAGAGGAACAAUUUUAUAUUGGACAAGUGAUGACAAAGCUACUGGAACGUCCCCUUUUUGCUUCAAUUCAUGCUCAUGGCUCUGGUACCCAAGUACCUUGUGUGUCACUACCUGAGGAUGUAGCGACAUGAGUUUUAGAUCUUUCACCACCAGUGGCAUGUCUUCUCAUUCCAGAGAAUCCAGCUGAUGUCUCCUGUCCCAUCGCAUGAAUCUGUUUGGCUUUUUGUAAGAAAUAGUCCAACUUUAGUAUUUCUUACAGAUUUGCAGAAGGGAUGAGGCUGGAAGGCACCUCUGGAGGUCAUUUUGUCCAACCUCCCUGCUCAGGAAGGGUCACCUAAAGCAAGUUGCCCAGGAUUUGCCCAGACAACUUGUAUGUCCAAGGAUGGAGACUCCACAACCUCUCUGGGCAACCUGUGCCAGUGCUCUGUCAUUCUUAUUUCUCAGGUAGAAACACGUAAUCCUAAAUCCCUCUGCAGGUCCAGCAACAAAAUAUAUAUAUUUUCCAAAUCUUUGCACCCUAUUGAUUUAUCCCCAUGCCAGUUCCGAGUUGCUGGUAGCUACUGGAGCAAUACAGACUCCACAGAGAAAUGCCAGGAUAAACAACUAGAGGCAAGAGAUUAAAAUCUCCUAAAAGGUGUAGAAGCACAACUCCUGGUGAAAAUUACUGUGAUUCAAUACAACCGUUCAUUAACUGCCAUGGAGAGAAACUACACCAGAUCCCAGAACAUCUUUACCAAGGCAGCGCGUUGCUGGACGCGAACAGUUUGAACAUUAUCAUAAUGGUGGGGAAACAAGGAAAAUCAAAAAGGAGAGGGGAACUCCAUGUGAUCAGUUUAAAUUGGCUGGCAAAAAAUUACUUACUGAACACAUCUUGAAAAUUUUCUCCUUGAGUCGAGGAUCCCAGCAGUGGACAAAAGGCACUUUUGGAAGCAGCGGGGGGAAGUUUACACAGAUGGUAUGAGAGAACUGGCAUUGUGCUUGGAGAUGUGGUGGGGCAGAGAAAACGCUGCCCUAAAUAGAAGGGACAAGAUGCUGGGUUUAAUUUAGAAAUGCUAUUGGCAUUUUUGUCACUGGAAUGUAGGGAGCCACGAGUCUGCAAAUGAAACAACCCAAACCCUUCACCACAAUCAUGGGGUGUAAAGAAAGUGUGAUGGGUUGGCAUUUCCAGGCUUUUAUUACAUAUAUUUUUUUCCUUUGAUUUGGCACAUUCUGGAGUCACCUAUUAACUUGCUUAAAGAUAGUUUUUGAAGUAUAGAAGGUCAGCCUGGACAGAAGAUUGAAGCUGUAAAAAUGUUCAAACAAUUCUGGCUCUUACAACUGUUAGAAUUUGCAGUGAUCACAAGGAAGUGACAUUGUUCAAUAAAAAAUUAAAUUAAACAAAAAAAGGCAAGUCAAGCCACUCAGCAAGGACAUAAUUCACACAUUGGUCUGACAAGUUUUUUUCUACUCUGUAUGAAUUGACCAAGUUCAGUCGUUUGUUAGAUGCAUUUUGGGGUUUUUUUACAGUACAAGAGAAAGUGGUCACUAAUAUACCAUCCUCCUCCUUGCUUAUGAAAAUGUGCUCACUCAUAAAACUACUGGAAGAACAGAGAAAUAUGGUUAGUAACUCCUUGAUAAAGCUGGAUUAAGAUUUUGCUUUAUUUAUGUUAGCAAUAAUCAUUGUGGUUUAGUGGCAUUUGAAACAGCUGGAACCUUCUGUUUCAGCUGAUGUUUUGAUAUGUCAUUUUUUUCUUGGACUUUGGUCCUGAUUUUCUGGUCUAUGUGAAACAGGCAAACCAUUUAUGUAUCUCAGAGGAGUGCUUUUAAUUUAGGAAUUUAGAGAAUUAUCAAAGGUGGUUAUUUUAAUCUCUGCCACUCAUUCAGAUGCCUUAGUCACUAAGGGCUAGGUUAGAAAAUAGAUUUAGGAAUCUAAAUUGGCACAGAAGUCAAUUGCAAGUACCAUUUCUUUAAACUGAAACUAAAUCCUGAAAACCUUUGCUGAACUAAAGCCUAGCUCCAAAGGUACUUAAAUACCAUGCAACCUUUCUUCCUGGCUUUAAAAUAAGCAUGUUUUAAAGUGCUGCACAUGCUCAAAGAUACAUGAGGCUUGAUAAAGCCCAAUGAUGAGGCAGCACGUGUAUGACCAAACCCUUGCAAGAUGUGGACAAUAGGAGUUCUUUUGCUUGGAAUCCACCUGGGAAAUGAAUCCUCCAUACCACUGUCUUCUGUGAUUAUUGUCCAAGGCAGAGCGAAUGUGCAAAACUGGGACAACAUGUGGAUGGAGCAUCUUUAGUUCCAGUAAACUGGGUCUGCCUAGAAAAAUGUUGGGAGGGAUGCAGGGACAGCAGCGGUGGGUUAAUUUAACUCUCCUGGGUGUGUUACAAACCUAAGUAGUAGAUUAGAUGGCAAGUUUAUUGUAUGAUGGGAUAAGUUCCCAAGCUUUUCAUGCUGCUGCUUAUCUCCUGAGAGCACCUGCCCCACUGGGCAGAGCUUCCAGGGUAAUUUGAGUGUGAAAGGGAAACAGCAGAAGCUGUGGCACUGCAAGAACCAACAACUGUUCAUGAGCCAGUCACAGUACUUAACUAAUCCUCAGUCUUUGCCUCCAAGUUGCAGAGCCUGGAAAACUGCAGAUUUUAUAACGGAGGGUCAAAUUGUUGAGGUUAAAACCUCCGGAGGUUGCUGAGCAAGAUUAUUUUUUUAUAGGGGCAAUCUAAAUAUCCAGUGGAGCUGAGAAACUCUGAAAAGGGAAUUAAGAGAAAAAACUUUUACGACCUUAUCUGGUGCUGGGUAACAAAAAACUGGUCAUAGUCUGUGAUUUCAAAUUUAAAGUAUUUGGGAAACUGGGCUUGAGACAUGCAAACACUAGUAGGAGAUGCUAUGCAUGUUAUAUCACCCUAAAUUUGGAGUCAGGAACCACGGUUCGCACCCACUGUGGAUGUCUACAUGUAGCUAUUCGCGUUUCCAUUGAGAAGCAAAAACUAGAAAUAAAUUAAGCUUUACUUGCUUUAUUUAUUUUCUGAUUACUACAUAGGAUUUGCGUGAAAUAUGGAUGGCAUAUUUUCAACCUGUACUUGGGAUAAAUGCCACUGCUAAGUGCUUCUGUUCCUUUCUAUCUGAGAGAUCCUAGGGUGAAAUGGUGAACAUCCCUAAGGACUGAGUCCUUUUAUGGUGCUGUCAGCUGUCAGACCUCUUCCUAAAUGUGUUUAGGAAUACCCGUGAGAUUACAGAAUUGGUGUAAAUGCUGGUGUCCCAGGAGCCACCCACACGCUGCCCCUGUUUCUGUGCUGAAUUGCUGGAAGGUGCUUCACAGGAGCUUUGCUGAGAGCAGGUCAGACCUGGUGCUGGCAUGAAAGGGAAGCAAUCAGAAGGAAGUGCAGAUAAUAUCUGUCACCGCUGAUGUCUGUGUCUGUGUAAGUAGAUAAGGUUUCAGGAGAUAAGUUCUCUAAGACCCAUCAAAUUCCUUCUUUUUUUAUACACUGCAAAUGGUUUCCUUUGUUCAGUUCUUUACAUCGGCUCUUGACAGCAUCAGUGUGUGCGCAUCAGCGCCUCUUGAUGCAGGUUUGCAUCUCGGGCCCUCCUGAGAGGCUCAGCUCUGUCUCUUAUCCAUGGCCCAUAACCCCCAACAUCUGGGUUUGCUUCUUAGAGGUGUCACUUUUCUUUCAGAUGCAAAGUUUGGUAACUGUGACCCAAGACUUUGUCACUUUGAGAUUUGGCUGCAGUGAUGUGCUCUAAGCCAGGGCAGGGCUGAACUUUCUGUAGUUUGAGUUGGCUGAUGCAGAUGGAAUAAUUGCUACAUGUCUUCUAAUUCCUGAGUUUUAUGUCCAAUGGUAAUUGGACACCAGCCCCAAAUGUAGAUAAUCAAUAUUAUAUAUUAGAUUCGCUGUGUGAAUGCAGAAGUUCUAAAGAAAAGUAGGCUGUCCUAAAGCUCAUAAAACAUCCAUAUCCUGCUGCCAUUUCAUAAUGGACAUGAGGUUUGAGCAUCCUACAAUGUGGGAUGUGUGGCAACUUUUAUACAGGACUUGCUUGGAGGGACUUUAUGGAUAAGACAUCGAACAUAUUCAGAAAGUGAAGCUAAUGAAAAAUUAUUCUAACUAAAGCUUAGUGAGAUCCAGAUUUUCACUUCUCAGGGUAUAUCUUAUGAUUGAGUCUUAUUUCCACUCCUAAUGAAAGCAAUAAAACAAUCCAGAAAGCUAUUACAGAGCAUGAUUAUAAAUAAAAAUAAUUGUUGGUCAAUCAAGUGAUUUGUUUGAAUAAGAACAGCAAAAUAUUUCAUUUAAAUUUCAACUUGAAAUAGUAUGGAAAAUAGGAAAAAAAUUGCAAUGCAAAAUUGAAAAUGUUAUUUUGAAAAUAUAGUAAUUUUCAGCAAGAUGAUUCUUUUGAUUUUCUCUUCACAAAAGGGACAUUAGUCAAGAUCAUCACUCUUGUGCAGAUGUUUUGGUUUCAUUAAUUGGCAGGUUCUGAGAGUCUAAAUGUAACUGACUUGUAUAUGAAAUACCUAACGAUAUGUUAAAAUGGUGAUCUAAUCUCACUGAGUUUAAAGUGUUCAUAUGAACCUAUAGUAUGCAAAAAUAUAUGAAACGGUCCUACAGAUAAAGGUUUGGUAUGGUGGCGUUUGUUUGUUGGUCAGCCAGAGUAUGUGCAUGGACAAAAUUAUAGUAAGGAAAAUAAAAGGAUUAAACAAAUUGCACUGAUUUUUUCCGUUGGUCUAGAACUUGUCUUUAUCAGAUGACAUUUUUUAAUUGUGUUAUCUUCAAUAGUCUGUUGCAGUUCACUUUUAUUCGCACAUGCCGAGUCUAAGGAAACCUCUCAAAUAUUUUCUGGCCAACUGCAGUGGUAUCCUAGAAGAGCCUCCAUUUGUUGAGGAGGUAAAUCCCAUUCUCUGGUCAACUCCAGCUGCAGCUGUUUGCAUUUUUAGCCAUUGAUUUGCAUCGCGGUCAUGUGUAGCUGCUCCCUCCUGUGUGACAGAGAGAAACCCACUCCUGUAGCUGUCCCUUGGUAUUAAUGGAGACCCAAUGACGCCCAUGGGAAGCUGUUUUUCUCUUGGUGGCAAUUAAGCUCAACGGUAGCUUUUGGAAUCAAUGGAAAUUAAAUGCAGAUAACAGGCAUUAAUUGAACAUUUAUUGGAAAUAAUUUAAAUUAUGUAUAGCUGUGAUUUGGUUAAUGGAAAUUAAUGACUACAGCUUGGGUAUAAGCAGAACUGCUGGAAUGUAACAAAAGUCAAUACAAGCUGUUACAAAUGGCUGAGAUAAGGAAGUACUUAUUGAUAUUAGUGAUCUUCAAUAUUUUCCAUUGGAACUAUAAUCUAAUACAGACCAUGUUGUUGUGGACUUCAUCUGUAGCAGAGGGGUAAGAAAUUGUUAAUAAUAUCAUAGAUGUAAAGUGUCACUAAUCCGGUAACUUGCUACACUGGGUAUUGAAAUAAUUAAUGCGAUAGAUCAUUCUUAAUUAUACUCUUGUAUUUACAGACAAACUGAAACUGAGGCUGUUAUUGAUUAAAAGAAAUGCCAUAUUGCAGACUUUUCUAGCCCUGUAACUAUAUUGUUCUUGAAUUUCAUAUAGUGUAGCUUAGAUUUUUACAUCUGAUUUGAAUUACUUGAAUGUCUUAAAGAUCUGUGUUCCAACCAGAUGUGAGAAAUGGCUUUGGUUUGGAAAGUCUCAAGGAAGGACCACCAAAUAAUGAGGAAAAAAAUAGCUCUCUGUUAUUUUUUCCCCUACACCUUCAAUGGAAAAAAAAAAGGAAAAAUAAAAGUAUCCCAGUUUAGUAAUGUGACUUGGGAUCCUGUCAGGAAAAUGUUCUCUACCUGCAAAGUAUCUUUAUCAUUUUUCCAGCCCAAGGCUGGGCUUGAUAAACUUCUGUAAAUGACAGAAUUAAACAUUUCUGUGCAUAGUAUUACUAUUUACUGUGCUUUAUGCAUGUUCUGACACAAAGCCAACACUUUAACUAUGCAGAAUUUCCUCUAGUUAAGCACCGCUGGCUGUACUAACUAUAAUAAUUGGCUGUACUGAUAGAAUACAUACAUUCUAGUUAACCAUACUAAACCCACAACUUUUUAAUCUUCUUCUUGUCAUUAACUUUUGAAGUUUUUAUUUAUUUUUUUUUUAAAUACUUUAAAAGUUAAUUCAAGUAUUCAAUUUAAUAUGAAGCCGUUACCUCUUUAAGAGGAAGAUUAAGUCGUGUGCUACUUUUGUACUACAUUAUGUUUUGUUGUCUUGAUCUUGUACUUUAUCUUUCAGAAUCGUCUCCAUGUUGCCAAGUUAUGUGAUAAAGGUUUUCGAAAUAUUCUAUGACAUGUAAAGAAAACCGUCUAUUGCUAUGAAAUUCUCAUUGGUGAACUGGGGAUGACUGCUAGAAACUGGCCACAAAAAGAGAAUGAAAAAGGCAAAGUGAAUUUAUCUACAAAAGGGUAGAAGUCUACAAUGUGUUGAUGUUGAUGUGGGAUGAGGAUGCUCAGCACUUCACCAAACCUGGCCCGGAGCAAAACGCGAAGGGAACGUUUCAACAAGUGCAAGUAACAAAUGCACACGGUGAAGGUGGUGAUUAAAGACUGUUAUAAAUAUAGUUUCGGAUUCGGAUGUUGCAAUCCUAGGCUGCUUCUGUGUUAUUUUUGUGACUCAUUUCUUCACAAAGUUCCUCUGAUAGUCCUGUUGUUUGUUGUUAAUGUUUUCACGCUGAUCCUUUACUUACUAUUUUUGUUUAAUGAUUCUUCACCAGGAGAAGAAUUCCGCUCUUAGCAGAACAGGAUAAAGCACUGACCUCUACGUCGAUGAGUGUUAAUCCUGAUUCUCUUCUUCACCAAAUUUUGCAUUGUGGAGGGCAGCGGGAAUGCAGCUCACCUUGUCUAAUGUGGAGGUCCUUCAGGCCAGGAACUGUUUGCAAUGCACGGAGCACAUUUGGGAUCUGACUGCUAUUAUUAUUCCCUUUUGCAAUGUACUAUAUACAUAUCUUUUCUGAUUUCCAUGAAUAUGACAGCGAUCUGUGCAGCAGAGCUUGAUGCAGCGAUACGAAACUCUCCCAGCGAUUUUCAAAAUAUGCAACCCAUAAAUCAUUCACCUUAACCUGGGCCCGAAUUUGCAUGAAACUGGCGCUCGAUCGUCUCAAAAGCAAAUUUACCCAGAGUCCAACCAAUCCCAGCUGUGUGUGGAGCGCAUGAAGUUCUAAAGGUAGGUUUCAGAUGGCUGCAGGGUUUGUAAUGGAUGCUUUGCACAGCUGUAAUGAUGAGUGGGUGAGGAGAGUUAAGAAUGAAUAAAGUGUGGGUGGUGGAAAUAUUCACCGGGCAUGUCACAGCCAGGGGAGGAAGCACAGGGGCCUCCCAGCCGCUGUGAUGGGAAAGACGUCAAGGUUCCCUGGACGUGGGUCCUGGUUAUUUAUUUCAGCUCUGACACGUUCUCAUUAGGAAAGAGAAAAAAAAGUGAAAUCGAUACCAUUUCUUUUGAAAGCAGGGAGCUGAUUGUGGCGCAGCAACAGAGCUGUCUUGUAAUCUGCUUCCAAACGUGUGGGUGCCUCUUGGGUUUCCUCAGCUAUUUUAUGGCCCAUUUUCAAAGAUUUCUGUAAAAAUCAGGCCAACAAUGUCUGCAUCCCCUACCACAUCAGUGAAAAAUUGGACCGCGUUUCAGAGCCAUGUAAAUUCCUUCUAUAAGAAACAUUUACGUUUUACAAAGCGUAAAUUUAGCAGACCACUUUGCGGGGUGAAUUCAUCGCUGUUUUGUGUCCCUUGUUACAGUACGGUUACCAUGGGGAUGGGUUGACUAAUAGUUUACCAUUAGCGAACAGAACAACGAGUAGCAGAUAUAACUGAAUAUUAUAAAUGUUUCUUCCAGGAUUGCCACGACGUGUUCAGAUAGUUAAUACGAUAAUUCAUUCUUACUGGUUGCGUAAGUUCAUGAGAACUCACCUAUAAGUAAAUAAAAUCCAAAGUGUAGCUUAUGUUUCUAUAUUGUAUUAUUAUACGGCACGGAAAGUGUAAUAAAGCAAUCUGUUGACUUCUUGA